AGGGUCAUUGCGAACUGGAGCGGUGACAGGGGCAUCCCUGUCUGGUUGCGUUGUUGAUCUCAAAGCUGGAUGUCAGGGACCCAUUCACCCGGACAGUUGCGUGUGGUUUAUCAUACAGGGCAGAUAUCCAUGUCAUCAUGCGUCCUAGUCCCAUAACCCGUAGUGUGUUCAUCAUGUACAACCAGUUGACACGGUCGAAGGCUUUUUCGGCGUCCGUGGAAAGUAAUAAGAUUUAGGUCCGUGUCUUCCGCGCUCUGUGUUAUAUGGAGAAGAGGCGCAGUGUGCUAUCCCGUGCU